rnacentral:rRNA from 1 species
UACGUAGGGUGCGAGCGUUAAUCGGAAUUACUGGGCGUAAAGCGUGCGUAGGCGGUCCCGCAAGUCCGCUGUGAAAGCCCCGAGCUUAACUUGGGAACUGCAGUGGAAACUAUGGGACUUGAAUCCGGCAGAGGGGGGUGGAAUGCCACGUGUAGCAGUGAAAUGCGUAGAGAUGUGGAGGAACACCGAUGGCGAAGGCAGCCCCCUGGGUCAAAACUGACGCUCAUGCACGAAAGCGUGGGGAGCAAACAGG